rnacentral:tRNA from 1 species
UAUAUUUUAAUGUAUUAUGAAGCAUAAAAAUUUUUGAAAUUUUUUGAAAUAGUUUAAAUCUAUUAAAUAUAA